UACGUAGGGUGCGAGCGUUAAUCGGAAUUACUGGGCGUAAAGCGUGCGCAGGCGGUUUGCUAAGACCGAUGUGAAAUCCCCGGGCUCAACCUGGGAACUGCAUUGGUGACUGGCAGGCUAGAGUAUGGCAGAGGGGGGUAGAAUUCCACGUGUAGCAGUGAAAUGCGUAGAGAUGUGGAGGAAUACCGAUGGCGAAGGCAGCCCCCUGGGCUAGCACUGACGCUCAGGCACGAAAGCGUGGGGAGCAAACAGG
rnacentral:rRNA from 1 species